ACAUGCAGUCGAACGGUAGCACAGAAAGCUUGCUCUCGGGUGACGAGUGGCGGACGGGUGAGUAAUGUCUGGGGAUCUGCCCGAUGGAGGGGGAUAACCACUGGAAACGGUGGCUAAUACCGCAUAACGUCGCAAGACCAAAGUGGGGGACCUUCGGGCCUCACACCAUCGGAUGAACCCAGAUGGGAUUAGCUAGUAGGUGGGGUAACGGCUCACCUAGGCGACGAUCCCUAGCUGGUCUGAGAGGAUGACCAGCCACACUGGAACUGAGACACGGUCCAGACUCCUACGGGAGGCAGCAGUGGGGAAUAUUGCACAAUGGGCGCAAGCCUGAUGCAGCCAUGCCGCGUGUAUGAAGAAGGCCUUCG
rnacentral:rRNA from 1 species